rnacentral:lncRNA from 1 species
AGCAGCUCCGGUCCAACCCCGCCGCCGCCUCCUCCUCCUCCUCCUCGAUGCCCGCGUUGCCUCCAGCCGCCGCCUCCGACGUGGCGAAGGCCGACGACCGAGCGGACGGUUCGAGGGAUUCGUCGUCGCUCCCGAGGGAGGAGGUGGUCCGGCGCCUGCGUCUGCUGCGCCAGCCGGCCACCCUCUUCGGCGAGGACGACGCCGCGCGCCUCCGCCGCCUCCACGACGCGCUCGAGGACCCCGCCGCGGUCGCGGGCGUGGACGCCACCGAGAUCGGGGAGGGGCAGACCAACGACUUCCUCCGCGACAUCCAGGCCCCGCGCGGCAAGGCCGCGGCCGUGGCGUCCAAGCCCAAGCCCGGCGCGGC